CCCUUAGAUGUCCUGGGCCGCACGCGCGCUACACUGAACGGAUCAGCGCGUUUUCCCUUCCCGAGAGGGACGGGUAACCUGCUGAACCCCGUUCGUGGUAGGGAUCGGGGCUUGCAAUUAUUCCCCGUGAACCAGGAAUGCCCAGUAAGUGCAAGUCAUAAGCUUGCGUUGAUUACGUCCCUGCCCUUUGUACACACCGCCCGUCGCACCUACCGAUUGAAUGGUCCGGUGAAAUCUUCGGAUCUGAGAGAUGUCUGAUUAAUUUCGGACGCCUUUUGGAAAAGUUGCUUAAACCUUACCAUUUAGAGGAAGGUGAAGUCGUAACA
rnacentral:rRNA from 1 species